AUGUGAUCAUUGGAUGUUGUUAUGGUCAAUGCAGCCGAACACAUCACGCCACUCCACUCACGCCAUAUAAUAAAGCAUAUAAAUAAUAUGUACAAUCAUAGUUCAAGCAUAACACAAUUGUUUGUACUAAACUAUCACUGUUUCUAGUCUUCAUUUUACAAAUCCUCUACCAACCAAAACCAAAAAUGGGCGCAGAAAAAGUAUCCAUGAACAUCGUUGUGGUCGGACAAGUGCAAUCCGCCAAAUCCGCCAAAACCGUCACCAAGGUCCAACCCCAAGUUUCUCAAUACAAUAUGAGCUGUUAAUUGAACUCACAUUUCUCCACCUCAAAAAUGCCAUAGACCAACCGGAUAUUAUGUCCAAUGUAUAAAAACUUGACAUGUAGAGUUUAAAAAUCAAUCAAUAAACCAGCUUUUCCGUUAA